AGGAUGAACGCUGGCGGCGUGCCUAAUACAUGCAAGUCGAGCGGUAAGGCCCCUUCGGGGGUACACGAGCGGCGGACGGCUGAGUAACACGUAGGAACGUACCCCAAAGUGAGGGAUAAGCACCAGAAAUGGUGUCUAAUACCGCAUGUGCUCUUCGGAGGAAAGCUUCGGCGCUUUGGGAACGGCCUGCGCAUGAUUAGCUUGUUGGUGAGGUAAUAGCUCACCAAGGCGACGAUCAUUAGCUGGUCUGAGAGGAUGAUCAGCCAGACUGGGACUGAGAACGGCCCAGACUCCUACGGGAGGCAGCAGUAGGGAAUUUUCCACAAUGGGCGAAAGCCUGAUGGAGCAACGCCGCGUGCAGGAUGAAUGCCUUCGGGUUGUAAACUGUCUUUUAUAUGUGACGAAUAUGACGGUAGCAUAUAGAAUAAGGAUCGGCUAACUCCGUGCCAGCAGCCGC
rnacentral:rRNA from 1 species